rnacentral:rRNA from 1 species
GAUGAACGCUGGCGGCGUGCCUAAUACAUGCAAGUCGAGCGAACAGACGAGGAGCUUGCUCCUCUGACGUUAGCGGCGGACGGGUGAGUAACACGUGGAUAACCUACCUAUAAGACUGGGAUAACUUCGGGAAACCGGAGCUAAUACCGGAUAAUAUAUUGAACCGCAUGGUUCAAUAGUGAAAGACGGUUUUGCUGUCACUUAUAGCUGGAUCCGCGCCGCAUUAGCUAGUUGGUAAGGUAACGGCUUACCAAGGCGACGAUGCGUAGCCGGCCUGAGAGGAUGAUCGGCCACACUGGAACUGAGACACGGUCCAGACUCCUACGGGAGGCAGCAGUAGGGAAUCUUCCGCAAUGGGCGAAAGCCUGACGGAGCAACGCCGCGUGAGUGAUGAAGGUCUUCGGAUCGUAAAACUCUGUUAUUAGGGAAGAACAAAUGUGGAAGUAACUAUGCACGUCUUGACGGUACCUAAUCAGAAAGCCACGGCUAACUACGUG